rnacentral:rRNA from 1 species
AACGAACGCUGGCGGCAUGCCUAAUACAUGCAAGUCGAACGAGAUCUUCGUGUCUAUUGGCGCACGGGUGCGUAACGCGUGGGAAUUUGCCCUUGGGUUCGGUGCACCUGCUUGUAACGGAACCUAAUACCGGAUGAUCACGUAAGGCCAAAGAUUUAUCGCCCAAGGGUGGGCCCUUGUAGGAUUCGGUAGUUGGUGAGGUAAAGGCGAACCAAGCCGUCGAUCCUUAGCUGGUAUGAGAGGAGGCUAAGCCACACUGGGACUGCGGCACGGCCUAGACUCGUACGCGAGGCAGCAGUAGGGAAUAUUGGGCAAUGAGGGAAAGUGUGAUCAAGCAAUGCCGCGGGAGUGAUGAAGGCCUUAGGGUUGUAAAGCUCUCUUACACGGGACGAUAAUGACAGUACCGGGAGAAGAAGCACCGGCUAACUACGUG